rnacentral:rRNA from 1 species
UACGUAGGGGGCAAGCGUUGUCCGGAUUUAUUGGGCGUAAAGAGCGUGUAGGCGGCUUUACAGGUCCGUUGUGAAAACUCGAGGCUCAACCUCGAGACGCCGGUGGAAACCGUAAGGCUAGAGCCCGGAAGAGGAGAGUGGAAUUCCUGGUGUAGCGGUGAAAUGCGCAGAUAUCAGGAAGAACACCCGUGGCGAAGGCGGCUCUCUGGGACGGUACUGACGCUGAGACGCGAAAGCGUGGGGAGCAAACAGG